GACGCUCAAGCGACUGAGCCACCCAGACGCCCCUCUUCUUUACUUUUAAAAACAUAAUUGGCUCCUGAUUUCUUCCUGCACCUCUGUGGAUCAUCUUGUUUACUUCAGAGGCCACUAGCUUAAAUAUUAAGGGAGGUGAAUUACCUCACAGAAAUUGCAAGAUUGGGCAGUUCCAGGAUCAAUAAAUGUGGCAGCUCAUGGAUGUCAUCAAGGACCCAGGUUCCUUCCGGCUUUCUGCUCUGCCAGCCUCCAUAUGUGAGCUUCGUUCUGGAAUUGCUUCCCGCAGGGUCUUGGCUCGCACAGUUGCCAGACAUGAGGCCAACCACUUGAGAAGAAGACCUUGUUUCCCAGCCUUUUUUUUUUUUUUUAAGAGCAAAAAAACUUGCUCAUGAGCCCACCUGCAUGGUUCCUCUCACUUUUCACUAGGGAAGUUGGGGUACAUAAACAUGCCCAAACUAAUAACCGGGAAGGAGAUCGGGACCACCUUGGCAGACUUAAAUAAGUCUCACCUCUUGGGGCUUUGGUUGGGCUCACCUUCCCACUGGCCUCAAGAGGAGGAUGUGCUAGAACUGAGCCAUGUCUCUGUUAGGAAGACGGAAGAGAAAAUGGCUGUUGGCGACUAUCGGUUUGCUUGAAUCUACCGCAUGGGGGAAUGACUCCUGCUACUUAGGAGCCUCAGGGAGAUGCCAAAAACAACCCCUCUGAUUCUACAUCAGUUUUGUUUUCCACACAUGUACACAAAAACCAACUCUUACCAAUUCUCAUUCAGAAUGAACUGAUGUACUCUUGUUUGAAAGUCAUGGUAGUCCAGGUCUAGAAUCUGGAUAUAGGCACACCCCUGACUGGAAUAGCCAGGGAACUGUAAAGAACCCAAAGCUGGGAAGAGCUUGAGCUACGUGAACACAGGCCCAAGAAAACCCAAGUCCCUAGCUGGGAAAAUUUCUCUCUUGGGUAUGACUAGUUUCACCUAUAACAAAAAUAAGACCAUGUUGUUGAGCUAGUACUUGGUAAACACAUCCUCUGUCAAUGAAAAAAGAUGGCUCAAAUAGCAUAAGAGAGGGAAAGGAAAUAGAUGUGAACUAAGCACCUACUUUAUGGUAGUGGCUGCUGUUUACUGGCCGUCUGCCUGUGUGGCAGGUGCUGUAUGCAAAUUUUAAGAGCAUUUGAGCAAGGCAAUUAGUGCUACUCUACUGAAGUGUAGGCAGCUUCUAGCCUGGUCCUCGGUGAUCCCCGCCUCCUGGUAUUCAUUCACCCUUGAGAGUGAGCUGGACCUAAUGACUCUUCUCAUGAAUACAGCAAAAGUGAUGGGUGUCACUUCUGUAAUUAGAUUACAGAAGACUGACAUCCGCCUUACUGGUGUAUACUCUGGCUCUUCUUACUUGCUUACUUGAAUGUAAAGGCCCACCUGGCAAGGAACUGAGUGUAGCAUGGGGCCAACAGCCAGCAAGGAACUGAGACCUUCAAUACCAGCCCAUGAGGCACUGAAUUCUACCAACAGCUGCUGAGCGAACUUAGAAGUGGAUCUUGCCCCACUUGAACACAACGAGGAUUUCUGCCCUGGCCGACACCUUGAUCAUAGCCUUGUGAGAGAUGGUGAGCCAAAGAACUUAGCCAAGCUGUGCCCAGAUUCCUGCUCCAAGGAAACUAUGAGGGGCAUCCGGAGGUGGGAGGAGCCACAGGAAAGGCCUGUCCUCAGGCAGCACUAUCUGUUGGCAUGAAGUCCAAUGGAGCUCUUGGGAAGCGAGAGAUUUCAGGUAGUGUUUUUCAGCCACAUGGGCUCUUUUAUGGACUGUCAUGUCCCUAUGCCUGAAAACACCUCUUGGAAUACUGCUUGAGUACGUUAUUCUCCCCCAGCUAUUUGUUCAUGUGUCAUCUGAUAUCCUGUACCCCUUUAGGUAUCCUGUACCCCCCGAUAGGAUGUACCGAGGAGGAUACUUCACCUCUGUGGUAUUUUCUCCAAAAUCCAUAACCUCAGUCUACACACAAGAAAACGUCCGACACAUCCAAAGUGAGGGACUUUCUACGGGACACCUGACUGCUCCCUCGUCAGAGGUGUCAAGGUUGUGAAAAAUGAGGAAAGACCAAAAUCUGCCUCGGAUUAAGGUGACUGUGGAGACAGGGAGACUUAAGUGCAGCGUGGGAUCCUGGGAUUGAGAAAAGAUAUUUGUGGAAAAGCUGGAGGAGUUGGAAUAAACUUCGUGGCUUAGUUAAUAGUGCUGUACCAGUGAUGAUUCCCUAGUUUUGAUGAACGUACCAAACGUAAGGUUUUAACACUCAGGGAUAACGGGGGAAGAAUUUAUAGAAACCCUCUGUACUAUCUUCACAACUCUUCCAUAAAUCUAAAACUGUUUCCCAAAAGAGUUUUUGAAAAGUUCCAUGGGUUUCUCACGGUUAUAAAGUGGUGUGAAAUAACA